rnacentral:rRNA from 1 species
AGUGAACGCUGGCGGUAGGCCUAACACAUGCAAGUCGAACGGCAGCACAGUAAGAGCUUGCUCUUACGGGUGGCGAGUGGCGGACGGGUGAGGAAUACAUCGGAAUCUACUUUUUCGUGGGGGAUAACGUAGGGAAACUUACGCUAAUACCGCAUACGACCUACGGGUGAAAGCAGGGGAUCUUCGGACCUUUCGCGAUUGGAUGAGCCGAUGUCGGAUUAGCUAGUUGGCGGGGUAAAGGCCCACCAAGGCGACGAUCCGUUGCUGGUCUGAGAGGAUGAUCAGCCACACUAGAACUGAGACACGGUCCAGACUCCUACGGGAGGCAGCAGUGGGGAAUAUUGGACAAAGGGCGCAAGCCUGAUCCAGCCAUACCGCGUGGGUGAAGAAGGCCUUCGGGUUGUAAAGCCCUUUUGUUGGGAAAGAAAAGCAGCAGGUUAAUACCCCGCUGUUCUGACGGUACCCAAAGAAUAAGCACCGGCUAACUUCGUG